rnacentral:tRNA from 1 species
GUUUGUGGCUCAGUGAUAAGAGUGCUCGCCUAGCAUGCAUGAGGCACUGGGAUCAAUCCUCAGCACAACA